GAGGGUAUAGCUCAAGUGGUAGAGUGUGCACUUAGCAUGUAUGAGGUCCUGGGUUCAAUCCCCAGUACCUCCU
rnacentral:tRNA from 1 species